CACCUCUGCCUCCACCCCCCACCGGGCAAGGAGCUCGAGGUGAAUAGGCGGUGGGAAGGUGAGAGGAAGCAGGAGCUCAUCUCUCCUCCAAUGGCUGCCUCGUGCAUCUGGAGGACAACACGUGCUUGUUGGAGGCGACUCGAGCGAUGCAGGUCAGCGGCGAACUAGGUGCUCCACUCUUUCUCUCCCUCACUUCCUUCCUCACUCAUAUUUUACUUUGCUAAUUUUUGGAUUUUUAAACUUGGCGUGUGCAGAUCUGACAUCGAAGACCACGUUCCUCAUAUUCAAAAGUGAUCUUCUUCCAAUGGCUCUAAUGGUAAUUUAUAACCUCUUUUGAUGUACCGCAGUUGUGUCAAGUUUGCUGACAUCCUCGUGCUGCAACUGGCUUGGUAUAUUUGGUUAAUCGUAACCAGCAAAGAGGAGGAGUCUCAUACAUGCCUGCUAUUCUUUAUGUGGUUGUAUGAAGUGUACCUUCAACUAAUCAAGCAACCUGGCAUUAGUAGUUUGUUUAAUUAAUAUCACUCUCAUCAAAGAGUAUGAUAUCAUUUAGCUAGCCUCCUUUCUUUGUAAGAGGGAUAGUGUAAAGGUUAGAAAUGGGUAACGGAAUGAGUGUUCUCAUUUUUACUGCCCCUGGAUUUAGGGAAUAUAUAUGCGUAUAUAUUGAUGCUCAUCGUUGCCAUGUCUGGCUCUUCAGGUGCAUGCUAGCUAGAAGUUCAGAUUUGUAAUCAACGAGUGUAAAAUUGAUUGUCUCUGGUUACUCUCGUGAUCUGUAUCUAGAGGGCAAGUCAGGUCUUGGAAUGCUGAGGUGAGACUUUCCAUGGCCUCUGUUUUUCUUGAUGGGUGGAUUACACAUUACUUCCUUGGAUGUUUAAAGAUUAUUAUAUCAUUGCUCCCCUUUUUAUCGGCAAGCAUUCUCUCAUCUUCUGGUAACUUGAGUAAGAUGCAACACACUAAUGCUUUCUUAGUCUGGUUUGUUGCAAAAAAUAAUUGAAGUGUGCAGACAGGCAGCAUGGAAACACUAAAGAGAAGUUUCAUACGUACUAAUAGCUGGAGUGAUUUGAUACCUGUAGUAACCGUCUUAGAAUAAAUAAGAUUCAGCUAUUUCUAAAGAUAUUAGACCAUAAGAUUAUUCUUAAGUAAAGAUGUUUCAUGCUUCUGUUUCUGCAAAAUUUCUAAGAGUAUAUGAUUUCAUUUUCCUUCUUUCCCAGUUAUAAAUUUAUUGGCAUCAAAGUAGAGCUUCAGGUUUAUGGUUCAGUAUAUCAUUGCAAAGUAGUUUAUGGCUCAGUAUAUCACUACAGGUUCCUUACACUCUCAAAUUUCAAUGUUUUUGUAUUUUUGUCGAUGGAACCAUGUUCUUUGACUAUAAAGUAGCAGAGAUUUCUUUUCUAUCAAUUCUAAUCCCUUUUUAUGCAUUGCUGGUUUGCUAUCAAACUCUCAAAAAUGGAAAAACAACUUUACUUUGGUUUUUUGAGAACCUUCCUGUAGAGUACCUCGACAGAGACAAAUAUGCGGUCAAGGAUAUAUUCGAUGGAUUUUCAUGCCAAACUUGGAGGAUAUUUUUGCAGGUUCGUUGCUUGCAUUAUUGUUUUCUUACUUUCUGUUCUUCAAGACAAUAUCUUCCUAGCAUUGCUCUAUAAAUUUAAAUCCAUCUUUUUGUUCUUUGGAUUAUCAUGGCGUACUCAUCCUGUGUAAUCCAAGCAAGGGCCUUCAUGUUUGCAGAUAGUUUGGUACUCUCGUGGUUAUUUUUGUGGUGAUUUGCCUUCUAUUCAUUACUUGGUAACCAUCUACUGCAGGUCAGCUAUUGUCCAGCUGCUAACCUUAUGGUGAGUGGUUGAUGGUGCAUGUUUUCCUAUUAGUUUCUCUCUAUGCCAAUGUCUGAAUUUUAUCUUGCCGUUUUGCAUUUCUACAGGCCUUUCAUUCUCAUUGUGAUUCCCCGAGAUGCGCUAUUAGUAGGCAUCCACUUUCUAAUAAAAAUUUGGAAGUCAACUUGAAAAGAGUCAUUUAUCUAGCUACAGCAACCUUCCUUGCUUUUGCAAAUAAUACUUUAUGGUUGACAAUAUAGUCUACACCUGCCAAACAUUUACACGUUAGUAUAACCAGAAAGUCAGAUGAUCGUUCCAUGUUGGUUAGCCGUGAUAAAUCAAAUUUCUAGAGUAGCAGAUGAUUCGUGUCAGGUUUCUUUUAGAGAUUGAAAUAUGUCUUGACUCCGAAAUAAGUAGUACAACGUCCAGUUCUGCAUAGGUGAAAGCAUACUGUGCAAAACCGGACAGCCUUCUAAAGCUCUGAAACUACUAUUUGUUUUUGUUUUUUGCGGUUAACUACUACUUGUUGUGUGAUCAGUACCCCCUUUUUAUACUCUGUAUAUGCUUUCUACUUACUAGGAAAAAAUGCGUGAGAACGAUGGCCUAGAGGAUGUGAAUUGCACUCGAAUAUAUGCAGGUUUCUUGCCAAACUAACUGCCACUAUUAUAUUUCAGGUGCUUCUUCUGUAACUUAGUGUAUUUUCCUGGCUCUUCUCAUUUCCUGGCGAACUUUUUAGUAUGUACAGUUGAAUCGUUGGAAGUUGUUUUCUACUAUCUAUAGAGGUUUUAUCCAAACUAUUAGCUGCCUGACUUGCUUUUUCGAAAUACACCGUCCUGAUAGACAUUUCCAUGGGAUGUUAGAAAAAUAUAUGUGAAUUUGCAUACAUUUUAUAAAUUCCUAUCUUUACUUAUCCAUGCUUCCCCAUAGAUAAAUAGCAGGUUCAACAAAAAUGAAUGUUCUCUUUUGUUCAAAUUUCAAGAAAGUGUGCUUCACGCUUCUCUUUCUGCAAUAUGUUUCGGAGUGUAUGAUUUGAUUUUCCUACUUUCCCGGUUACAAUACUGUGUACUUCAUUCCUAGCUUUGCUUGAAAUAGGUAUGCAGGUUAUCGAAAGCUCCAUUUUUCUCCAUUAUAUAGAUUAUAUAGCUUUGUGAUCAAAGGUAGGUUGUCACACAGGGGAUUUGGCUUGUGAAAGUUAUAUACAUCCAUGAGUCCCUAACAAAAUAAUCGCAGCUCAUGUUAAAAGGAUCAGGGAACCUCGACCAUUUUUCUGAAACAUGUCUCAGCUCAUGUUCCGACUUUCUACACUACUAUGUACUUCAUUCUUACCUUUGCUUUUGGAAGUUACAUUCUUUCUUUUCCCUCGUAAACUUGCUAACGAUAUUGGCAAAGUAAUCCCCACUUCAUAUUUCCCAUUGAAUGAAUAACUAAUUUAGAUUGUUCAAAAAUUGUAGGUCAAGAGGCAUGAAUAGGAGCAGGGCAUCACACUCCAGCUCUGAGAAGGAAAGGAUAUGAAGACAAAGAUAUAUGAGUGUUGUGCUCCGACGCAAAAACAUUUUGCGUGUAAUAAUGAACUGUAAUUUACCACAAUCUCUCUACAACAGGCCUACCUAUUACCAUCCGUUGCUUGCUUUUGUAUUAGGAAGUAUGACUCAGUCAUAUAUAUUUACAUUCACGUUGUUUAGUUAUGGUUCGUAUGCAUGAACAUACCUUUUUAACCGAGCUUGAAAAUUCUUAUGUGUAGUGAAAUUGCAUCUAGCACUUUAGACAUCAUAAUCAUAAAUGGUUGCUAAAGAGUUUGAAUUGGUAAAGUGGUUGCAUCCGCUGUUACAGGUCUGGAAUGUUCCUCCAUGCUAAAACCUAAUUUAAUUUUGAAAACACUUUGUGUUUGAAAUUGACAUUGUGCUGUUUGGUGUAAUGGGCCAUUUGUGUAACCAUGCAUGCAGAGAAAUCAGAAAU
rnacentral:lncRNA from 1 species